GAUGACGAGCGGCGGACGGGUGAGUAAUACUUAGGAAUCUACCUAGUAGUGGGGGAUAGCUCGGGGAAACUCGAAUUAAUACCGCAUACGACCUACGGGAGAAAGGGGGCAACUUGUUGCUCUCGCUAUUAGAUGAGCCUAAGUCGGAUUAGCUAGAUGGUGGGGUAAAGGCCUACCAUGGCGACGAUCUGUAGCUGGUCUGAGAGGAUGAUCAGCCACACCGGGACUGAGACACGGCCCGG
rnacentral:rRNA from 1 species